ensembl:lincRNA
GGCUCGCUCUUCCUUUCCUCUAGAUGGGCUUUGGGACGUCUGAAACGCAUAAUUGACCUAAAAAUAAUACUAAGUUCCUGUGGCGUGUCCAGCGUCCCUUAAAGGGAAGAUCUGGAGCGAUCUCGGUGGUUCCCGAGAUCGCAGGUGGCUUUUUUUUUUUUUUUUUUUUUUUUUUGCUGUCGCCAGGCACAUUGUGAAAACAGUUGCCAGCAAGAAAGAGAAACGCUCCCCACAUCCUAAAAUUGUGGCUCGGGGGGGGCCUUUGUUUAGAAGUGCAGGGCUCAACACCCCCACCCUCGGAGAAGCACCCCCAUGGGCACUUCUGUUUCUAGAAGGACCAGCGUCCUUCCCAAGGCUGGCCUUCCCCACGGGUCUAGAGGGUUUGAAUGAUCUGAGUUUUUGUUGCAACUACUAUUCUUCAAAGAAUGGGCCUUUCUGACAUCGCUACAGGUGUCUGCAUCCCUUCAUGUGAACCUUAUUCUUUGAUUCAAAGCUGUAGUUCUCAAUUGUUUAUUGCUGUUUCUCCAACUCAACGUUUUUUUUUUUUUUUUUUCCAAAAGGGGGGAAAAAGCUGUGAAUUUCUCUGUGGAGGCCUUUAGCAGCCUCUCCUAAAAUGUUUACCAAGCGGGCAAAUAACUUGUGGCCAUUUCACCACAGAAAUACCUACCUGCCCAUAGAAACAAUCCAUCACAUUUCUUUUGCGGAGUGCCUGGAGUAUCUACUGUGACUUAUUUGUAUCAAAUCAGAUUGUGAUGUGAGAAAAGAGAUCUGAGAGCUCUCCACAAAUUGGGAAUUCUUGGGUAAGUUCCUCUGUUCCUGGAACCUCUGUUGUCUAGAUUGCGGAAUGAGAUGACCAGACUAGAUGAGUUCCAGAUUGCCUCCCAGCUCUGUUAUUUGAUUCUGCUAUGAAGAAAUUGAACCAUAACCUAAUUGUGUCAUAUUUAGAACUGUUCCUGUUGACAGUACUUUCAACUUUUCAAAGUCUCUUUUAACUUUCUUUUCAAAUUCAGUCUUCAAAGUAUUUCCGAAGGGAGGGUCUGCAUAUGCCAAGAAGUUAGAUUUUCUAUAAAGUCUGUCAUUGGUUUACCUAAAUUUGAAGUAUUCUUUAUAGCAUGUUACUUCAAUUCUAGUACAUAGGAAAGUUGUUGGGUUUUGUCCCAGGGAUCAGUGGAUUAGCUCACUGAGUUGUGAGCUCCUUCAGGAUGGGGCCUCUUCAACAUGUGCUUAUAUUCCCUAUACUUAUAUAAACUUGCUUUUUCAUUCUAGCUCAGUGAAGGUCUCCUGAAGGAGUAAAGGAAUGGUUUUAUUCCAUUCCACGUCAGUGGUAGAAAAAUCUGGAAUUGAUCUGAUGAGUAAAAAAUAAAAAAACCAAAAAAAACCCCACAAAAAACAAACAAACAAACAAACCAAAACCAAAACCAACCAAACAAAAGAAAACCAACCAAUACACAUGGAGUAUCUGCAGUGUAGAGGGUACAGUUUCUCUUUGUGUAUUGUCUCCACUUUUGUUUCUUGUUGUUUUAAGACAGAGUUUCUCUGUGUAACCCUGACUGUCUUGGAGCUCACUCUGUAGACCAGGCUGGCCUCAAACUUGGAGAUCUGCCUGCCUCUGCCUCUGCCUCUGCCUCUGGAGUGCUU